rnacentral:rRNA from 1 species
AUGUCGUACAACCCGUUGGAUGUGGUGUGUUGGAAUGUGAGGGGCUUAAAUAGCCAGGUUAGGAAGAAGGCGUUGAGGGAGUUUGUUGGCUCCUUGCGUGUGGCUAUCGUUUGUAUUGUGGAAUCUAAACUAGAGUAUGUUGACCAGUACAUCAUCGUGUAAUGCCUAGGGCCAUCCUACGAUGGUUUUGCUUACCUCCCGGCUACCGAGACUAGAGGAGGGAUCGUGAUGGGUUGGGACUCCUCACGUGUCCAAAUUAGCAAUAUUGCCCUGGAUUCCUUCUCUCUGUCCGGUUACGUGGCACCGAAGGAGGGUAACCCAUGGUGGCUAACGGUUGUGUAUGGGCCUCAAGAGGACGCCCAAAAGAUUCAAUUCCUUCAGGAGUUGACCGAGAGGAGAUCGCUCUGCCCGGGCCCGUGGCUAGUGAUUGGAGACUUUAACUUGAUCUUACAUGCGGUGGACAAAAAUAACUCACUACUAGACCGUAGGAUGAUGGGGAGGUUUAAGAGAUUUGUUGAUGACAAUGCCCUCAAGGAGCUGUUUCUACAUGGGCGUUUGUAUACCUGGAGCAAUGAGAGGGAAAGACCGACACUAACGAAGAUUGAUAGGGCUCUUGUUUCCAUUGAUUGGGAGCUUGACCAUCCCGACAGCUUAUUGCAAGCACUGUCGACGGCCUCGUCUGAUCAUUGCCCCCUUUAUCUAUCCCUGGAGGAGCGCAUGGACCUGAAGAGGAGGUUUCGGUUCGAACUUUUCUAG